rnacentral:rRNA from 1 species
ACGAACGCUGGCGGCGUGCUUAACACAUGCAAGUCGAACGAGGUCCAUCCUUCGGGAGAAGACCUAGUGGCGAACGGGUGCGUAACACGUGAGGAACUUGUCCCGGUCUCUGGGAUAACAGUUGGAAACGACUGCUAAUACCGGAUGACGUCGGAGCGUCGCAUGGCGCGCUGACGAAAGGGUUACCGGAUCGGGAGAGCCUCGCGGCCUAUCAGCUUGUUGGUGGGGUAACGGCCUACCAAGGCAUCGACGGGUAGCUGGUCUGAGAGGAUGAUCAGCCACACUGGGACUGAGACACGGCCCAGACUCCUACGGGAGGCAGCAGUGGGGAAUCUUGCGCAAUGGGCGAAAGCCUGACGCAGCAACGCCGCGUGCGGGAAGAAGGCUCUCGGGUUGUAAACCGCUUUCAGAAGGAACGAAACUGACGGUACUUUCAGAAGAAGGUGCGGCCAACUACGU